AAAAAAUAAGAUGUAGAAGAUUGGCAGAUGAAUGAAGAAGAUUGAGGAUGGAUUGAAGAUGUGGAUCGAAGAAGAGGAAGAAAUGGGAAAAAUAUAAAACCUAAUUUUCCCCCCUUUUAGAUUUUGGUUUUGGGAUGAACUUGGUGAUGAAUUUUCCCUGUUGUUGUGCUAGCUUUGUGUUGCAAUAACAAAAUGUUGGUUUGGGAUUUUAACUUUGCUUUCAUGUGCUUGUUAACUUUGCUUGUGGAUUUGAGUUUAGCAUGAAGAAGAAAGGCUUUUAGUAGUACUGGGUUUGAUAUGGUGUGCAGAUUUGGAGUUAUACAAGAGAUGAGUGUUUUUGUGAGAUUCAUUUUCAUGGGUGUGGUUUUGAGGAAGAUGAACCUGUGUGUUUGAGAUUGUAGAUUCAGAUCUUUGAAUUAAAAUUUGGGGA
rnacentral:lncRNA from 1 species